GAAACACUUAAUUUAGGAGAUUUGUUUGUUAUGGAGAAUAACCGAAGGAACCAACUAAAUUCAUUUUAGACGACACAAACCAAGUGAGAAGAAAUACGAAUUGAGUAAGAAAAUCUCGAGAAAAUAGAAUGGCAACGUUUUAGGGAUUUAUCUAGAUUAAUUAUUUAAUACAAACAGUCAAGAUAAAUUACAAAAAUAAAGAAGGGUUGAGAAAGUGUACUUUCAGGCCCAUUUUUGGAUUCUGUUGGGCUGCAAAUUUAUGGACCUCGAGUCCAUUUUAACUCAUGGUAUAUCAGUUGUAUAUCACAGUUUUGUUUUGCUGCAUUUUCUAUAUAUUUGUUGUAUAUCAGUGUGAGCCGGGGGUCUAUCGGAAACAGCCUUUCUACUUCUUUAGAGGUAGAGGUGUGGACUGCGUACAUCUUACCCCCAGACCCCACUAGGUGGGAAUAUACUGGGUUUGUUGUUGUUGUUGUUGUAUAUCAGUGUAUAAGGACCCGUAUACUUGCUUCUGAUGUUGUUAUGCACCAUAUAUUGGCAUAUACCAACCAUCUUUAAUCUACAAAUCCCAUAUAUUUUCUGUAUAUUAAUGUAAGUCAGCUUUGAAUCAGUCAAUUUUCUUCAUGUAUUAGUUCAUUAUGGACUUUGAUGGGACUUGACUCGAUGGAUAUUGAAUGCGAAAAGAUGGGAGUCUGAUGGACUCGCUGAGAGAGUUCAUGCAUAAAAGGGGUGGGAAAGGAUUACGAGGAAAUCUUUAUCAACCUAACCACAUAUAUAGUAAAUAACCACCUUUCAAAUAAAAUACCAUAACUCAAUUUAAACAAGAUAAUCACACUUAUUAUGAAGUUUAGGAUUGAAAGAAAAUUCUGCAUCAUCUAUCAAAUAGGGCACCAAGGAAAUACCAUAAAGAACUAGUAUAGCAAUGUCCCGAUGUCAACAUGAUUAAUGUUGUAUAAGUAGUCCACCACAAAAAAACUCUAAUUGUUUAAUGAGCAUAACAACCGUUGAAACUACUCCAAUAUUGAAAGUAGAACUCUUCAAAAUUUUCUUUUUUUUUAAGAAAAAAACUUAAAGACUGCUAUGCACGGAGAUUGAUAAAGAAGUAUAUAAUCUUCUAAUUGAUAAGAAAAUUCAGUUCUAGAACAUGAGACAAACCAACAAUUCAUUUUAAUCUUUUGGUAGGUAAAGCUAAUAGAACGAAAUAAAGCAAAACCAAUAAAUUGCUUAAUUCAUGUUCAACCAAUUUUUAUAUAAAUAAAUAAAUUAGAUUUAAUCUAUGGCAAAAACUAAAUCAAAACAUCAUGGAACUAACUAAAUUUCACACUGCCUAACACCCAAAUAAGAACAAGAAAAAUAAGGGAGAGGAUUUACUUUUCUCGGGAAGGAACUGAAACGAACGAGCUUUAAAUGAACAAAAUUCCAUCGAAAUUUCAAUCCCGGAUCAUCGGUGCUUUACCUUUUUUUUUCGGAAUUAAAUUUUCAAGUGCGUUUCUUCUCGAAUUCUUUGAUUACGUAGGAUUAGAGGAAUGCUCCUCCCAAAUCCCUAACUUUUCCCCAAAGAAUUCUCUCUUUUCAACCUCUAUCCCUCAAUGUCCAUUUAUGAGAGAAAUUUGGGAGGAAAAAAUAGGGUUUCGAAUUUGAAAGAAUGAAUUUUAAAUCUAAAUUCAGGAAUUCACGGUGAGACAAAGACUAUUAAUGAUCUUUGUACUAAAAAAAUAGUGGAGAGAUAUGGAGAAAUAGACGUUGCCUCUAUUAUUAAAAAAUGAGAGUUAAUAGUUUGCCCAAAUGGUGAGCAUAGUCUGAAGAUAAUGAAAGAAUCUGAUUUUUUUACCAUAGAUGGUUGUACAAAGAGGGUAAAUCGGUAAGUGAAAGGGGUGGCUAGGGUUUUGGGGGUUGAUGUUGUUUUUAUCAUUGUUUGAUGGUUGUUGACUAUUGUUGUGUCGUAUAGAG
rnacentral:lncRNA from 1 species